CGGCCGCGUCGACAACGGCUCACCAAGGCGACGAUACAUAGCCGACCUGAGAGGGUGAUCGGCCACACUGGGACUGAGACACGGCCCAGACUCCUACGGGAGGCAGCAGUAGGGAAUCUUCGGCAAUGGGGGCAACCCUGACCGAGCAACGCCGCGUGAGUGAAGAAGGUUUUCGGAUCGUAAAGCUCUGUUGUAAGUCAAGAACGAGUGUGAGAGUGGAAAGUUCACACUGUGACGGUAGCUUACCAGAAAGGGACGGCUAACUACGUGCCAGCAGCCGCGGUAAUACGUAGGUCCCGAGCGUUGUCCG
rnacentral:rRNA from 1 species